GGAAAGGUGACCGAGCGGCCGAAGGUGCACGAUUGGAAAUCGUGUGUACCCGAAAGGUACCGAGGGUUCGAAUCCCUCCCUUUCCG
rnacentral:tRNA from 1 species